GAUCCUGGCUCAGGAUGAACGCUAGCUACAGGCUUAACACAUGCAAGUCGAGGGGCAGCAUGGUCUUAGCUUGCUAAGACUGAUGGCGACCGGCGCACGGGUGAGUAACACGUAUCCAACCUGCCGUCUACUCUUGGACAGCCUUCUGAAGGAAGAUAUACAGAUGGCAUCAUGAGUCCGCAUGUUCACAUGAUUAAAGGUAAUUCGUGACGA
rnacentral:rRNA from 1 species